GACGUAGGGGGCGAGCGUUAUCCGGAUUCACUGGGCGUAAAGGGCGCGUAGGCGGUUACGAAAGUCCGAUGUGAAAAGUCACGGCUCAACUGUGAUCGUGCAUCGGAUACUUCGUUGACUUGAGGUCGGUAGAGGCAAGUGGAACUAGCGGUGUAGCGGUGAAAUGCGCAGAUAUCGCUAGGAACGCCGGUGGCGAAGGCGACUUGCUGGGCCGUACCUGACGCUGAUGCGCGAAAGCGUGGGGAGCAAACAGG
rnacentral:rRNA from 1 species